GUGAAUCAUCAAAUCUUUGAACGCAAGUUGCGCCUUUUUCGGAACGCCUGUCUGUUUGAGGGCACCCUUUAACAAAUAAUGUGCAGCGUUUUUUGCUGCCCACGUUUAUUAUCUUUCCCAGAAUUUUAAAUCUUUGGUGGCGCAUAAUGAACAGCGUGAAAGUUUUUUUCAGUUCGAGUGUAGUAAUAUCUUUGCUUGUGUUUUGCAAAAACAUAAUCGCGCAAUGGGUGUGGCACUUUCUUUUUAUCCCUGCCCCCAUGCCACUCUUUCUCACUAAAGCAUGUCUUAUCUUCAGUGCCU
rnacentral:misc_RNA from 1 species